AAACAUAGACGCGGCUAAACACAGUAUAGGUAAUAGGUAUUUAGUCCAUUCCGAAGUUGUAGUUUUGUUUUGACAUUUCCCUUCUGACAUAACCUAUAUGUGUAUCAUAAAAUAAUAUAAUAUAUUAUAUACAGGCAUAUUAUGCCUUUUUUGCCUUUACACUUACUUGUGAAUUGAUUUUUUGUUUUAUUUAUUUACUGAAUAUAGAGAGACUUUUAAACUGUCCAAGGUUGUUCUAGCUUUGUUGUUUUAAAAUUUGUGAUGUUUGUUAUAAUGAUAAUAGGAGUCUUAUUUAAAUUGGUGCAUUAAAAGGGAUUUAUUAUAUUAUUAGCAGUAAUUCCAAAUGCGAAUAUUAGAGCAGGGCAUUUAGCACAAAAUAAAUCGAUUUUUAAAUACAGCACCUAGAGAUUUGCAACUUUUUGUAUUGUGUUUAGGAUGGUGUCAGAAAAAAGGUAUACUAUAGAAAAAUGGGUGGAAAUGACCCCCGGUGCUCAAAAAUCCUCCACACUCCAGAAGACAACAUGUCUUAGCAGUGAUCUUGGGCACCAGGUAGUGCAUCCAGAAGGUGACGUGACCAUAGACAUGUUUAAGUCUCUAGACACGAAAAGUUUAAAGUCUCUAGGUGCUGUAUUUAAAAGUCGAUUUAUUCCUAUGUUUUUAGUGCUAAUGGUCUAUAUGUUUCAACACUAUAUCAUGCCCAAAACACGCCAUAAUAAUGUGUUUUGAAAUGUCAUAGAAACCUCAUUUGUGACAUUAUUUACUUUUAAUAUUAUAUGACUACUGCAUAUGCAUCCAAUUUUCUGUAAUUCUUGACGUUUUCGUAAUCGAAUUUUAUCUGCACAUUCUUUUGGCACCAUCCCUAAUUCCUCUAAUUUAAUCUAAUAGCCUUUUAAUAGUCUAAUGAGAUAUGAUGUAAGGUCCAUCUGCACCGAUCUGUUUAAUGGAUUAAAAUUAUUUGAUGUAAUUUAGUAUGUUUACAAAUUAUAAAAAAAAGGGUGCCCGAUAUAAUUUUGUUUUGACUAUAAUUAAUGAAUAAUUAAAAAAUUACUUUUUUUAUAUAUUAAACAGUUAUUUAUGUAUCAAGGUCAUUAAAUAGAUGUUUAUACCCUAAGGGCGACAAGCUUAUAAAUUACAUAAUUAUGUAUGUGGUGAAUAUAAAAUUUUAUGUCAUAGCGGUUCAUUGCGUCAGUUAAAGUUUUAAUUUUAUAAUAUAAUAAAUUAGAAGAAAUACUGUAUCGCAGCAGGUAUUUAGUACUGUUGGUAGAAAAGUGAUGUUGGUUAGCAAUUUGGUAUUAACAUAAACAAAGUUUUUCUAUGUGAAAUUGUCAAAAAAGUCAGAAUGCAAGAGAAAUUCGAUAUUUCUGAAAAAAAGCCAAUAAAGCGACUGAGAAUCUAUUACCAAAUAAACGUAUCUAUGACAAGGAAUACGCUAAAUUUCAACCAUGGAUGACAGAAAAUAAUACUGAAUGCGUAAAUGAGACUGUACUACUGGCAUACACUGUACAGGACGACCAAGAAAAACAUGGAACAAUAGGAUAAGCAAGAUUCUCAAAGAAAGAGGGAAGACAUAGAGUGAGCCGAAGGAACUAGCUAGAGACAGAAAAGAGUGGUGUACAUUUGUAGAAAAAAAUUUAAGAGAGCUUGUACACCUCGACACCUUCGGGUAUAAGAGGUUUUCGAUUAUGUAUGCAUGUUAAUUAUAGUCAGAACAAAAUUAUAUCGGGCACCCCUUGUUUUUUAUAAUUGUUACCAUACUAAAUUACAUAUCCAAUAAUUUUAAUCCAUUAUUAAACAGAUCGGUGCAGAUCGACAUUAUAUUGGAUCCUCUACUAUAAAUAAAAGAUCCAAAGUACCAACAAUACUGUCAGUAGUCCUAAAAUAUAUUUAUUAAAACAUACCAACUGUAGAAAAAUAAUAUAACUUAUCAAAUCUGUUUAUUUAAAAAAUACAGCUACUAUUUAUAAUUAUUAUAAAUAUGAUUUAUACGUAAUCAUUUGAUUUUAAUUUCACACUAUCACUUUGGACGGUUAUAGUCUUUCUGGCAUUAUUCGAAUUUCACUUUUAUCCAAUUGCGGUUGCAACUCCAAUAGAGUCAUGUAACAGUUUUGUAACUUGAUUUGUGGACGUCCGUGAGAGCGGUUGCAACUCCACUGGAGAUUCCUGUGGCAGUUCUGUACUGGAAACUGUGUCAGAGAAAUCCUAAAAAAAUAUUUUUGUUAGAUUCCAAAGCCACAAGAAUAAUGGAAACAUAUAGCAAAGGAAUUUGAAGCAAGAUUGAACUUUCCCCAUUGCUUCGGUGCCGUUGACGGCAAAUAUGUGCAGAGUAUUCUACCAAAUGGGCAAGGUUCCUAUUUUUAUAACUAUAAAGGAUUUCAUAGUAUGGUUUUGAUGGCAGUUGUAAAUGCUAAUUAUGAGUUCAUAAUAUACGAAUUUGGCGUGAAUGGGAGAAUUUGUGAUGGAGGUGUUAUAGAGCAAACAAUAUUUUACAACAAAUUAAAAGAAAAUACAUUACAAAUUCCAGUCUUUGAUCGCCUCAGUGGUUCAGAUAAAAUGCUUAGUGACGUGUUUAUUGGUGUUGAAGCUUUUGCCUUAGCUCCACAUUUCUUAAAACCGUUUAAUCAAAGAGAAUUAACAAAUGAACGCAAAAUAUUCAAUUACCGCCUGUCAAGGACAAGGCGAGUUGUAGAAAAUGCCUUUGGUAUUUUAGCUAACAGAUUUUGAAUUUUCCAUACCACUAUUAAUUUAAAUCUAAAAACUGUAUAUAUCAUUGUCAUGACAUAUUGUGUACUCCAUAACUUUUUGAGAAUUAAAUAUGCUUCAACCUAUACUCCCAUUGGAAGCUUAGACGUUGACAAUAGGAAUGGUUUAAGAACAGAAGAUUCUAAUCUCACUGAUAUGCAGAGAUAACAUUAUAUAAGUAUUUCCAGAGACGCCAAGCAAACUAAGGAUAAACUUUUUUUAUGGUAUUUCAAUAAUGAAGGUAGUGUACCAUGACAAAAUAGCCAUGGUGUAAUUCAUAAUAUAGUUUAAUUAUAGAAUUUAAUUCAAGUUCUAAAUAUUGUGAACGUAGAUAUAGUUUAAUAAAGAAAUUUUUUUAAAUUAA